rnacentral:rRNA from 1 species
AGUGAACGCUGGCGGUAGGCCUAACACAUGCAAGUCGAACGGCAGCACAGUAAGAGCUUGCUCUUACGGGUGGCGAGUGGCGGACGGGUGAGGAAUACAUCGGAAUCUACUUUUUCGUGGGGGAUAACGUAGGGAAACUUACGCUAAUACCGCAUACGACCUACGGGUGAAAGCAGGGGAUCUUCGGACCUUGCGCGAUUGAAUGAGCCGAUGUCGGAUUAGCUAGUUGGCGGGGUAAAGGCCCACCAAGGCGACGAUCCGUAGCUGGUCUGAGAGGAUGAUCAGCCACACUGGAACUGAGACACGGUCCAGACUCCUACGGGAGGCAGCAGUGGGGAAUAUUGGACAAUGGGCGCAAGCCUGAUCCAGCCAUACCGCGUGGGUGAAGAAGGCCUUCGGGUUGUAAAGCCCUGUUGUUGGGAAAGAAAAGCAGCAGGUGAAUACCCCGCUGUUCUGACGGUACCCAAAGAAUAAGCACCGGCUAACUUCGUG